UACGUAGGGUGCAAGCGUUGUCCGGAAUUAUUGGGCGUAAAGAGCUCGUAGGCGGUUUGUCGCGUCUGCUGUGAAAACCCGAGGCUCAACCUCGGGCCUGCAGUGGGUACGGGCAGACUAGAGUGCGGUAGGGGAGAUUGGAAUUCCUGGUGUAGCGGUGGAAUGCGCAGCUAUCAGGAGGAACACCGAUGGCGAAGGCAGAUCUCUGGGCCGUAACUGACGCUGAGGAGCGAAAGCAUGGGGAGCGAACAGG
rnacentral:rRNA from 1 species